CAGCGAAUCAGACGCGUCUCCCAACACUGCGCUCCGCUCUCCUUCCUGCGCCUCAAGUGACCGGAGAGGCGCAAAACCCUCACUAAGCGCUGUCCCUGUUGUUGGCACUGACUGGAAUAAAGUAAUGUUUUUCUUCACAGGCAAUCCUCGGGGUGGGACGCGUGGCUUCACGGCGGUGAAACAAAGGAUAAAGGAUUCUUGAAGAGGGGAAUGGAAGAGCAAUAUGGGCCGGUGCUGGCAUCUGCAAGAUCAUUCGUUACGAUCCAGUGCAUUUGAACUCAACUAGAACCAACAAUCUACCUGGGUAUGAGAGACCAUAUGCACACACACACACUUAGGUGCUAAGCAUCACACUCAUCUGUUAAACGGAGUGAACACGUCACUCUUUACUAAGUAGAAGUUUCACUCAUCUCUCGUCCCUCGCUCUCCCAUCUGUCCAUGUCAUCCCUCAGCACUCACCCAUCAGUUAGUCUAACACACACACACAGACACACACACCUUUCUCCACAUCAGCCAUCAGUUUGUCCGACAGACACAUAAAGGAACAUAUUCACAUUCACACACAGAGCAACUCCUUUACAUCACACAUCAGAUCACCCCAGAUUCAGUCACACACACACACACACACGCACACACACACACACACACACACACACACACACGCACACACACACACACAACCGAUCGCACAUCAGUUUUAUCUUUUAUGCUAAAGUAGAGAGGGGGUGUUGCAGCGGGAGGGGUUGACAGGAGGGAAGAGGAAGUACACAGGAAGUACAUUAGUUAUCACUCCCAUGUCUUCUCCACCUUUUCACUUCUUAUCACCACUCGAUGUCUCAGACCCCAGCUGAGCUGCCUCUCCUUCUCAUCCCACCCCUUUCCUUUUCUCUUUCUGUCUCUCUUUCUUACACACACACCUCUAAAAAUGACUUCCGUGCUCCACUUUAGUGUCGGGCCCUGGGAUCUAGAUGACAUUUGGCAAGCUGCAGAAGCCGCGAGACAACUGGAUGAAAUAUUUAAAUGAAAGACGGCAGGGGUAGAAGAGGUGAAGAACAGAAGGGGGAAAAGAGGGAGAGAAAGGAAUACAGGACAGAGGGCGAGGGAAGGAGAGAGUGACGAUAUUCAGAUGGUGAGCAGAAUGUGAAGGAUUUCUUUUCUUGGCAAAGAGACAGCCAUGUGACAAGAAGUGCAAAUGAAUUGGCUUUCACCUACAAAGUAUCCUGACUAAAAAUCAACCUCUGUAGUAUGAGAUCACAUCUUUUUGUCUUGGAAUCAUCAGCAAGUCUCAGUAUGUUUUAUAGUACUUUGAGCACUGUGCCAGCUCAGCUGCUUGGAGUGGGGCUAUGAAUCUAAAACAUAAACAAAUUAAAUGUAACUUUGUUACAUUGUGACCUUAGAAUUAUAAGGUUCUAUUGGACUUCUAUCAGACUAAAUGCUGUAUGCUAAUGCUAGCAUGGCAACAUGCUCAAUGACAAUGAUAAGCUGAUGUUUAGUGGGUUUAAUGUUUACUUUAUUUAUAAUCUUAGUUUAAUGUGUUGGCAUGCUAACACCGCUUUGCUUAUUUGAAUUUACAUCCAGCACUCUUGACAGUUACACAACUCAUUAUAAUGUUUGUUUGCAAGAGUCCCUCUUUAUGUUAGUAACUAAAUGUAUAGCUAAGUACAGAUCUUUAAAAUGCAGAUACAGGUGUAUCCUAAAAAUGCGAAAAUCGUGGAAAAGUUCAUUUAAACAGCACUGAACCAGACUGAAAGAUUAAAGGCUAAGGAAACUUUGGCAGGUGUUUUGCUUUAAUUAGCUGAUUAGAUUUAUUCUCAGGUCGACAUUUCUGUGUUACAAAUUCUUUAUUCUAAAAUUCUAUAAUAUUUUGAUUAUUACAAGUUUUGAUUCCCACGUGCUGUAAGCUGUAGUCAUCAAGCUUAAAACAAAAAAGGCAUGAAACAUUUCACUUUAUGAGUAAUGAAUCUAGAAUAUAUGAAAGGUUCACUUUUAGAAUUAAAUUACAGAAACAAUUAAACUUUUCCAUGAUAUUAAAUUUUUUUUAGAUGAACCAAUACAUGAAGGUUUCUAGCAAAAUAAUUGCUAAAACAUUUUAGUGAUCUGAUGCCAACUCUAAAGUGCUGCAAACAGUAUGUGUGGCUGCUUAUAACUUAUCUACUACUGCAGACUCAAAAUGAUAACUACAUUCAGACAGCCUUGGGUUAUCAAGGUUAUCCAGGCAAAAAUGUAGAUGCUAAUUUGUGAGCAGAAAAAGACACACACAUGUAAAACAAUAGUGAAAGACUAAUUCUCUGGAACCUCUCAGUUCAUUUCCGAUUUCAACGGGUGCAGACCAAAAUGCCUCCGGACACAACUGGAUAGACAUACAAAGAAUUAGAGCAAUGAAAGUCGUGAUGUAACAUAGUAGAUAAAUUAAACUUGCCAAAUAGAAAGAGAAAUGUAUAGAUGUAUAGAAAAUAUAAUACUGAUGUGAUAGUGGAUUCAACAGAAAUAGUUCUACAUCAGCGGCAGCCAUCUUGGUUAUUUACGAAAAUACCUCAACAGCCAAUAAGGUUGCGCUCCUCUCUACAGUCAUUAUAUCAAACCGAUCCCGCAUUCACUUUUUUGCAUAGUUUUUUAAUCCAUUAUUAUUUAUUUAUUUAAAAUGUGUAGCUGUGUAUGUGCUAACAUGCCUCAAAUCAAUGGUGCAUCAAAUAUUAAAACCAAGUAAGAUUAUAUUUAUAAUUAUUGCUUUACAAUUCCAAACAGAAAAUUAGUUAUUGUAUUAGGAGGUUCCAUUUAAAAUGGGGUUGGGAUUUAUUAUUAUUAUUUAUAUAUUUCCUUUAGGGUGCCUGUCUAGUAAAACCUUUCUGCAUGUCAUUUUUACCAUUUAAGAAGGGAAAAUCUCAAUAUCUGGAUCACAAAUAGAACAUCAUAAUUAUGUUUGAUUUCCUCUCCCACUCAAGACAAAUACUUUUAAGUGUGUACAUACAUAUCUGUGUUUAUUCAAUUUGUCCAGUUGUUGAAUUCUUUAAUAAUUUUCUUACCCAGUUGUGCGUGCAGAACUGCAUGAUGGAUGUGCAAUUUCAUAUUUAAAAUCCAUACAUGUGUGUUUUUUCACUGUGUGUGUGUGUGUGUGUGUGUGUGUGUAGGCCUUUGUGCAUAUUCUGUAUGUAUAUAAUUUUACUGUACAACUAUAAACAUGCACGUAUGGGUUUGUGUUUGCAGUAUAAGUUAUACCCCUUUGUGCUGCAUUGCUGACUUGUAUGGUUCUUAUCACUGUUAAGUCUUGUUCUUACAGAACUGAACAUCAGGCCUGUCUGUCAAAGAAAUGAGGGAGUUUGUUAGCUUGUAUAGGUAACAAACAUAAAUGUGCAGCAAAGAAGUGAAUACAAUUUCACUGUGUCCUGCAGUUUUAUGAAUUGGAAAAAAGUCAAUAAAAAAUGACGAUUUUAUA